AAAUUACGACAACACAAUGGAAACAAGCCACUACAUAAUGAAAUUAGUGCAACACAACAAACUUAGCACAACACAAUGAAAUUGUUGUUGUAUAAUGUGUUGUGGCGAAUUCACUGUGUUGUGGAGAUUUUGUUGUGUUGUGCACUACUGGGCCACCAUAGUGAAGCUGCUUUGAAAUGUGUAUAAAGGCUAAAGGACUGCUAAAUCAUGACAAGCCAGGUUUUACAAUGUUUUAUUAUUAGGGAUGUGUCGCAGCUCUUGGCAGAGCUGGAUGGUUUUCAUUUAUCUGGAGACAUCUCUGUGAUCGGAGCAACUAAUCGCCCAGAUCUACUGGACCAAUCAUUGCUCAGGCCUGGCAGGUAAGUACAUUCAGAUUCAGUUGGAAUUUUUUUUCUUUCCAGAUUUGAGUUUGUGUAUGUGGGUGUGUAUGAAGACAGAGUCUCAGCCGCAGGCUCUGAAGACGAGCUUGUGCAGGUGAGUGUGUUCAUCAUCAAUCUCCUCUCUCUUUUCUCUCUCUCUCUGCUAAAUGACUAAAUCUAAAUCUCAGUGCUGGAGUGUGCUUGCUGCUGACUCUCUGCUGCUCUUCUGCUUGCAGGUUUAAGGUGGAUCCCAGCGUGUGUCUGUCAGACACCAUGGAGUCCUGUCCUCCUCAGCUGACCGGAGCUGAUCUCAAAGCACUCUGCUUGGAUGCCAUGAUGUGCGCCAUCAAGAGGAAGAUUUCACGAAUGACUGGAGUGUCUUUUUCUCUCUGUGAGGGGCGGUAUGGUGCUGCUCGAGACUCUUAUGAGCCGGUGAAGCCCCCGGUGAGAGAGCACACACCCGGGAGGAGGAUAUUACCGCCCAUACUGCAGAGGAUAGCCGUGUGAGAGAGCAGGGGAAGCCUGGCACUGCAUUGCAGAUCAACAAAGGAGAGACAGGAGGAGACUGCAGCAGUCUGCAGCGGGAUUCCCUCGUCUGUGUGUGUGAAAGACACCCAGCCCUCACUGGAUCAUCUUCUUCAUACCAGGUGCAUCAUAAGUGACUAGAAUAAAUGCUUCAUAGUAGAUCUUCUGAUGCAGAAGAAACUGUUGUGCUGCUGCAAUCCUUCAUGCAGAGCAACAUGUGUUAUUUGUUGCUGAAUAUUUAACGAUACAUGAUGAAUGAAAAGUGGCAUCAACCGUGAGCAAUGUGCAGGCUAAAUCACAAUUAUAAUCUAGAUAUCGUAUAGAACGAAUAAUCAAAUAUAAAUAUUGUAUAUAUUAUAAUAUAUAUAAUAUACUUUGUCAGUCACCAAUGAGUUUGAUUGUGUGUUUACUGGUAUUCUCUGUAUAGGGACUAAAUGUCCCCACAAGGAUAGUAAUACCAGUCAUUUUGGACCUUGCAGAGACAUAUUUUAUUUAUUUUCUUGUCCCCGUGAGAAAAACAGUUUGUACAUCAUACAGUUUAUACAGUAUUAAAAAUCUACCACUCACUUACGAAAACUGACCAUUGUUUUAGUAUAAAUACCCCAGCCCCCACCCACCUAAAAAAAAAAAAAAAAAACCUAACAAACAUUGUUACUGUAGUUAAACCAUGGUACACACAAAUUAACCAUGGGUUUGAUACACAAACCAUAGUGUAACCUUUGUAUUUGUAGUAGAAUUGUAGUAAGACAAAUGGUAAUCAAUACACCAAAAAUUACGGUUACUACACUUUUACAACAAUAAAACCAUGAUUAAUUGUGUGUGUGUGUGUGUUCACGCACUUGAAUGGGUUAAAAUGCAGAGCCCAGACUCCAAAAAUGAGACACCAUACUUGGCC
rnacentral:lncRNA from 1 species